UGCCAGCCGCCGCGGUAACACGAACUGCGCGAACGUUAUUCGGAAUUAUUGGGCGUAAAGGGCGCGCAGGCGGUCUUGUCAGUCAGGUGUGAAAGCCCGGGGCUCAACCCCGGGUGGUCACUUGAAACAGCAAGACUUGAAUACGGUAGAGGAGAGAGGAAUUCCUGGUGUAGAGGUGAAAUUCGUAGAUAUCAGGAGGAACACCGAUGGCGAAGGCAUCUCUCUGGGUCGAUAUUGACGCUGAGGUGCGAAAGCGUGGGGAGCAAACGGGAUUAGAUA
rnacentral:rRNA from 1 species